AUUUGCAGAGAUAGCUGAAUUUUGGUUUGACAUCUUGCUGGUCUCUUCUGGACUUUUGAAACAGUGUAUGAGUCAUAAACUGUUCCCUCUAAGGCAUUUCUUCCAGUGAGGUACCUGCCGGCAAACUCCCCUCCUCAGUCUGUUGCCG
rnacentral:lncRNA from 12 species